AUGUCAACCUCGACGAGAUGCGGUCUGUGUGGAUCUGAAGAUUCAUGGCAACACUCAUUACUUCAUUGCACGGUAGCUCGGUGUGUUUGGGCGCUACAAGAUCAUGAUCUGGUGGAGACCUUAAAUAGCACCCGUGAGCCUGACGCACGUCGAUGGCUAUUCUCCCUGUUGGAUACACUUUCUUCUGCGGAAUUCAUCCAGGUGGCAGUUACCCUGUGGGCUCUGUGGUAUGCACGUCGGCAGGCUCUCCAUGAAAAUAUCUUCCAAAGUUCACUAUCCACGCACAACUUUAUCACGAGAUAUAUCAGAGAGUUGGAAGACUGUAAACCCAAGAAGAUUGGUUCGAUUACUGCUAGAAGCACCGAACAAUUAAGACAAAGAUGGAUUCCACCACCGCCGGGUCUCUCCAAGAUCAGGGUAGACGGUGCGGUCUCUAGAGAUAAUCUGUAUGGCUCCUUCAGCGCAGUCUGCAGAGAUUCUUCGGGUCAGUUCCUGGGAGCUUCAGCAAUCAAAAUACAUGGCAUCACUGAGCCUGCAACCCUCGAAGCGCUAGCUUGCCGGGAGGCGCUUGCGCUAGCCUCAGACUUGGCUUUGACCGAUUUCACAGUUGCUUCUGACUGCCAAGGUGUGGUAAAUGAUAUCAAGCAUGGCACGGGAGGGUCUUAUGCAAGCACAGUCAAGGAGAUUGUUGACACAUCAAGAGAUUUUCAUCAAUGUACCUUUAUCUUCGAAGGUCGAACAACCAAUAUCGAGGCACACAGUCUCACUAAACAUGCUUUCGGUCUGGAUCUAGGGCGCCAUCUGUGGCUAAUAAACCCUCCAGACAUUCAUUGUAUCCCUAUGAACUUAUUUGAUCAAUAA
rnacentral:rRNA from 1 species